GUUUGUGACAUAGUUUAACUCCUCUUUUAUGGUAAAAGGUGUAAAAAUGCCAUAUCUGCUCAGUGCUUCCUUCCAGUAGAUUCUCUGAUGUGCGUUUCUGGCACUUUACCCUUCCUCAGUGGGAAAUACCAAAGGGAGAUAACCAUGGGCAGAUUUAAAACUAUCUUUAACUAAUAAAAAGUCGACAUCAGUGAAUGAGUUGUGCUAGUGGACCGCCUGGUCGGGUUAAAAACACUGGCACCUAGCAGUGAUUGGGAAUAAACAAACUUUAGGUUAAAUAAGAUAUGAUUGUGACACAUUUUUAACUUCUAAAGGCAAAUUCACUUCAGUUACUGUGGAGAAAAUAUUCUCUCUUAUGGUAAAAGGGGUAAAAACACUGUAUCUGCCCAGUGCUUCCCUCUAGCAGAUUCCCAGAUGCGUGUUUCUGGCUCUUUAGCCUUCUUCAAUGGGAAAUAUACACACACAUCUAUGU